rnacentral:rRNA from 1 species
UACGAAGGGUGCAAACGUUGCUCGGAAUCAUUGGGCGUAAAGCGCACGUAGGCGGCCUGAUAAGUCGGAUGUGAAAUUCCCUCGGCUCAACUGAGGACGUGCAUUCGAAACUGCCAGGCUCGAGUAUGGAAGAGGGUCGCGGAAUUCCCGGUGUAGAGGUGAAAUUCGUAGAUAUCGGGAGGAACACCAGUGGCGAAGGCGGCGACCUGGGCCAAUACUGACGCUGAGGUGCGAAAGCGUGGGGAGCAAACAGG